CAAUAGCGUAUAUUUAAGUUGUUGCAGUUAAAAAGCUCGUAGUUGGAUUUCGGGUGGGACGCAGCGGUCUCGCAUUGCGUUUGUACUGCUGCAGCCCUCCUUCUUGCCGGGGGCGGCCUCUCGGACUUCACUGUCUGGGGGUCAGAAUCGGCGAUGUUACUUUGAGUAAAUUAGAGUGUUCAAAGCAAGCCUUCGCUCUGAAUAUAAUAGCAUGGGAUAACACGACAGGACUCUGGCCUAUCGUGUUGGUCUGUAGGACCGGAGUAAUGAUUAAGAGGAACAGUCGGGGGCAUUCGUAUUCCAUUGUCACAGGUGAAAUUCUUAGAUUUAUGGAAGACGAACAUCUGCGAAAGCAUUUGCCAAGGAUGUUUNCAUUGA
rnacentral:rRNA from 1 species